GACGGGGCCGCACAAGCGGUGGAGUAUGUGGUUUAAUUCGAUGCAACGCGAAGAACUUACCUGGUCUUGACAUCCCGGAGACCCUUAGGAAACUAGGGGGUGCUUCCAUCUGGAAGAAUCUGGAGACAGGUGCUGCAUGGCUGUCGUCAGCUCGUGUCGUGAGAUGUUGGGUUAAGUCCCGCAACGAGCGCAACCCUUGCCUUUAGUUGCCAGCAGUUCGGCUGGGCACUCUAAAGGGACUGCCGGUGUUAAACCGGAGGAAGGUGGGGAUGACGUCAAGUCCUCAUGGCCUUUAUGACCAGGGCUACACACGUACUACAAUGGCCGAUACAAAGGGCAGCGACACUGCGAGGUGAAGCCAAUCCCGUAAAAUCGGUCUCAGUCCGGAUUGGAGUCUGCAACUCGACUCCAUGAAGUUGGAAUCGCUAGUAAUCGUGGAUCAGCAUGCCACGGUGAAUACGUUCCCGGGCCUU
rnacentral:rRNA from 1 species